UGAAAUAGCUCAGUAGGUAGAGCAAUUCACUCGUAAUGAAUAGGUCGCAGGUUCGAUUCCUGUUUUCAGC
rnacentral:tRNA from 1 species